rnacentral:lncRNA from 1 species
AUGCAAAGAGCCUGCAUAGUGGAAUAGUGCAGCUGUCCAAUGGGCAGCAAUGGUAAAGACUUCUUUUUUUUUUUAGUUGAAUUUUUUUUAAUCUUUAUUAACUUGAGUAUUUCUUAUUUACAUUUCGAUUGUUAUUCCCCUUCUGGGCUUCCGGGCCAACAUCCCCCUAACCCUCCCCCUCCCCUUCUUUUUUUUUUUUUUUUUUGGUCUUUUUUUUUUUUUGGUCUUUUUUUUUGUUGGUGGUCUUUUUUUUUUUUUUUCUCGGAGCUGGGGACCGAACCCAGGGCCUUGCACUUCCUAGGCAAGCGCUCUACCACUGAGCUAAAUCCCCAACCCCUCCCCCUUCCCUUCUAUAUGGGUGUUCCCCUCCCCAUCCUCCCCCCAUUUCCGCCCGCCCCCCAACAAUCACAUUCACUGAGGGUUCAGUCUUAGCAGGACCAAGGGCUUCCCCUUCCGCUGGUGAUCUUACUAGGCUAUUCAUUGCUACCUAUGAGGUUGGAGCCCAGGGUCAGUCCAUGUAUAGUCUUUGGGUAGGGGCUUAGUCCCUGGAAGCUCUGGUUGCUUGGCAUUGUUGUUCAUAUGGG